rnacentral:lncRNA from 1 species
UCAAAGCCAAGCCAUGAGAUUGCCAACAGAACUGCAUUCAUUUUCUCAAACAUGAUCUCACUUGCAAUUACCAAACCAGUCCAAACUUCAAAGAACAAAAACCCUGGCCUUUGUUUUUCACUAUCCUUUCCUCAUGUUGAACCACUAAAUUGCAGCCAUCAAACAUAACAUGGCAGACCAAUCAACUUCAUUCACUCUCAAAAUCUCACCUUCUUGCAUUUUCAAAUUUUCUGUCAAAACUCCAAAAUCACCAAGCCUUGCCUUGCCUUGAACA